AGAAGUCUUGGAGGAAACAUUAAUAUCAAUCUAAUGACAUUCCAUAGGAAUAAAAAUCCAAUGGGAUCCAGUUCUUAGCAGUCCCAGCCUAUUCAGAAGUACAAAGUCAAAUACCAUUUGCACAUCACCAAGAGGUACAAUCUGAUGAGUAACAGGAUAUCUGAUCUAAAAGCUUGCCAGGUUUCACAGGCUGUUUGAGUAUCACCAGGGCAGAUCAAGAAGAAAUAUGAAGGCCAGGUUCAUAACAAGCAGUUGCUUCAUUGCAAUUACAGAUUUAAAAAUUUAAUGAAUUUAAAUAAAUGUGUCGAUACAUAUUGAAUGUUGCUUAAACUACACAUCUGUUGAACAAAA
rnacentral:lncRNA from 1 species